GAGUUCCUAUCUCAUGAGAAAGAUUUAUUCAUUGACCUUCAAUUGCCAUAACUUAAUCAGAACACCUUUAAAUCUCACUGACUCUGUUCAUUUACCAAAAUCGAAGAGGCCAGACCGGGAAUGAUGAAGGCGCCUGAUGAUCCCAAGUAAUUAAGAAAUUCAAAGAGAUUCUUUAAAUGAGCUGGUGAUCACAUGCCGGUUCAACCUUGUAUUAACAUGGACCCUCCAUCAAAGCAAGACAAUGUUCCCUCUCUCAUUCUCAAUCACUCGACGUGGUGCUACUCUGCCGCUUCAUGCUCUAGGAAAGCCUGUGGAGAAAUUUAUUGAUAUGUGCACUCAUAACUCAGACCGUUGGUACUUCACAGACCGUCAUCUGUUACCGCUUCAUCCAUUUCCUCCUUCGAGCCCUGCAGAUGACCUGCAGAUAAAUAGUCUGUGU